UUCAUUCGUUCUGUUAGGCUUUCUGUGCUCUUACACGUGCAGGCACUGAGGUGAUGCUGGGGUUGCAGUGAGCUGUCAAACUAGAUGUGUCAGAAAUGAGAAAGGAGAUGAGAGAACAAAUUAGAAUACAGAGUGAUCGACACUUUGAUGAAGGAAGUAAGUGGAGCCUGGGGUCCAUGAAACCCACUGCCAAACCAACCCAGACAGAGACAAAGUAUCCCUAUGUUUCCCAGGCUGAUCUCAAACUCCUGGCCUGAACUGACCUCCUGCCUCAACCGACCUCCUGCCUCAACCUCCAAAGCACUGGGAUUAACAGCAUAAGCCACUGUGCCCAGCCUAAUUUUUACUUUUCAACUUUGUACGUUGCGGUGUUUUUAAUACCCCUGCCAAGACCACAGUUUUAGGUAAACCGCCAUCCUGCCUAUACCCAUGUCCCUGUUCCCUUUCCUAGCUGUGUGACCUUGGGAAGUUCCCUUGCCUCACGAGGCAUCAACUUGCUCUUCUGUUAAACGGGGACAACAGAACCCCGUGAGACACUCUGACAAUCACAUGAAGCUAUGUGAAUAAAACAUGGGCCUAGUACAU
rnacentral:lncRNA from 1 species